GUACACUGGAAGGAUGUGACAUUGGGGUUCAGGAAUGAAGCUCAGCCUAAGCUUCGUGUCUGCAUUGUCACAGAAUCUCAGAAAAGUUGAGUUUGAAGGCAUGAUGAGGUUACCUAGUCCAAUCUUCAAAGGAGCCCAAAUCAUCUAUUUUGACAGGAUGCUCAAUGGGAAAGCUCACAUGACAAGAACUGAGGUGGGCCUCCAGCCAGCAGCUUAUGAGGAACUGAGGCCUCAGCCCAACAGCUCCCCAAAAGACUGAAUUCUCCAAUGACCAUCAACUAAGUGCCUUCAGAGAAGAGCCUUGAGAUGACUACAUCCUGUGAUAUUUCCAGAACCAGAGGACCUACUUAAAAAGCACUUGGAUUCCUGACCCAGGAGUCUGUGAAAUACUGUGAGAAGAUGUAUGUAUAUUGUUUUAAGCUGCUGUUAUUCAGUGAUAGAUGACUAAUACACAGCUCUCUUAGUUCAUAUUUAGGAGAACAGUCAAAACAGCAGUGAAUAAACACUUUUAAGCAGACCGCCUAUUGCUUUAAUGUCCUGGUUCUUUAUGCCGUUCUCAGGAGAUA